rnacentral:rRNA from 1 species
UACGAGAGGCCCAAACGUUAUUCGGAAUUACUGGGCUUAAAGAGUUCGUAGGCGGCGCAGAAAGUAGGGUGUGAAAGCCCUCGGCUCAACCGAGGAAUUGCGCUCUAAACUACUGUGCUUGAGGAAUCUAGAGGUGAGCGGAACUGAUGGUGGAGCGGUGAAAUGCGUUGAUAUCGAGAGGAACACCUGCGGCGAAGGCGGGUUGCUGGGCUGAUACUGACGCUGAGGCGCGAAAGCCAGGGGAGCGAACGGG